AUUUAUAUAGUUUAAAAUAAAACAUUGAUUUGUGAAAUCAAAAUUAUAAAAUUUAUUAUAAAUA
rnacentral:tRNA from 1 species